rnacentral:misc_RNA from 1 species
UUUCCGUAGGUGAACCUGCGGAAGGAUCAUUAUUGUAUAACCGAGGUGCGAGGGCUGUCGCUGACCCGAAAGGUCGUGCACGCCCGAGUGCCCUCACACACAUCCAUCUCACCCCUAUGUGCACCACCGCGUGGGUCCCCCUUUGGCUUGUUCGGAGGGGGGCUUACGUUUUCACACAAACUUUGUAUGCAGUGUAGAAUGUAUUUUUUGUUUUUGCGAUCACGCAAUCAAUACAACUUUCAACAACGGAUCUCUUGGCUCUCGCAUCGAUGAAGAACGCAGG